CGGAGCUCGAUGCCGCGCAUGACUCGAA
rnacentral:sRNA from 1 species